UUGUGUGCAUACUGUGCAGAGCAAGCUGGGAGGAACAACAUAUCACCAGACGUCAGACACCAAGGCACUGUUUUCAAAGGGUGCCAUAAACUGUUGCUUUAUUUAACGUAUUUUCGCAGAACAAGACAGUGACAGGGACCGUGGCUGCCUGCGUGUGCUGGUUCAAGCUUGGUGCCUGCCGGGAGGUGCCUACAGGGCCACCAAGGCUAAUAUUGAGGGACAAAAGAGAAAAGCAGGAAGACCACCACCACCAGCACAGUGGAAGAACGAUGUAAACAAAGCGGUACCUUCCUUCCAGCUGGUGAUAAAACUUUCUCUCGCUCUCCCUUACUCUCCCACGUCACGGAAGCAGUGAAAUAAAGCACACGAGAAGGAAGUGAGAGGAUAAUGAAGUUUGUGAUACGUCAGAAGGUUACACCCAUUUCCUGUCCAGGUGUUGGUUAGUGGGCCUCGUGUUUGUUUGUGUUCCCUAGUGUUGCUCUUGUGUUGUGAGAGGAAUAUAGUUCUCUCUCUCUCUCUCUCUCUCUCUCUCUCUCUCUCUCUCUCUCUCUCUCUCUCUCUCUCUCUCUCUCUCUCUCUCUCUCUCUCUCUCUCUCUCUCUCUCUCUCUCUCUCUCUCUCUCUCUCUUGUCAUCGUAAUCCCACCAUUGUCACUACCACCUUUGUUAUCCCUUCGUUCCUCUUUUCUGAGAAGGCUUAUCUCAGUAUUUCCAUUAUUACACUGCAGGCAGUAUCUCAGCUUGAUGUAAACAUGUUCAGUUUGAAUUUUAAACAUGUAUUCUGAUUGCUUUGUCAAAACAUUCAAAUAUUUUCUUAUUGUGAAGGAUUUAUCAAAACUAAUAAAACUUUCAUUACACCCAUUUAUUGCAACCAUAGAGCAAUUGUUUGAUAUAAACAUAACUUUGUCCUUUUAGAAAAAAAAUGUAUACUAAAAUUAAUUGCCCCCAUCCCUAUCACCUCCAAAGUAAAAAUAAAAAAAGGGUGGUAUACGCCUUGUUACUCAGUGAAAAUAAAAAAAGGGUGGUAUACGCCUUGUUACUCAGUGAAAAUAAAAAAAGGGUGGUAUACGCCUUGUUACUCAGUGAAAAUAAAAAAAGGGUGGUAUACACCUUGUUACUUAGUGAAAAUAAAAAAAAAAGGGUGGUAUACGCUUUGUAAGUUAGUUAAUAAGUUUAAGGAGCACUUUGCACAUAGAGGCCCCGUAGUACAAAAUUUUAGAAUUGCAUUCGUGGGGCCUCUGUGCAAUGUGCUGCUUAAACUUAGGCAGUCUUUUAUGUAGUAGUCUUGUUAAUUUGCACUAAAACUAAAUAAAAUAUCCUUAAAGA